GGAUUAGAUACCCUGGUAGUCCACACCGUAAACGAUGUACACUAGGUGCUGGGAAGUAUCUCAGUGCCGAAGCAAACGCGAUAAGUGUACCGCCUGGGGAGUAUGCUCGCAAGGGUGAAACUCAAAGGAAUUGACGGGGGCCCGCACAAGCGGUGGAGCAUGUGGUUUAAUUCGAUGAUACGCGAGGAACCUUACCAGGGUUUGACAUAUAGAUGAAGUUCAUAGAGAUAUGAAUGCUCUUCGGAGCAUCUAUACAGGUGCUGCAUGGCUGUCGUCAGCUCGUGCUG
rnacentral:rRNA from 1 species